CCCCUCUCAGGAUCGCACCUGGAGAGUUUCCAGUACUCUACCAGUACCAGCUACCAGCGGGAGAGUCAAGCAGAGGCAUACCCAUUCCGUUCCUAGCAUGGUCAGUGGCUAGCAAGUGGAAGGCAAUCUGCUACAAGU